CCACUUGGCGGGAUUGCCACUUAUGACCACCU
rnacentral:scRNA from 1 species